CUCUAUCAGACUUCACUUACUUUUUAUGCCUCUGAUCAUUUUGAAGAACAUGAGAGAGGAAUUUUACAGUGCUCUUUAAUAUGGGUUUGUAUGACAUUUUUUCCUCAUAGAAAGUGUUUUGAUAGAUUGGGGAAGAAGAUCAACAGAGAUGAAUUGCUCCCUUUACUACAGGCUACUAAGGAUAUGAGCUGUCAAUGUGACCACUAAAGGCUGAUGAAUGGUUGUGUCAACAUGACCUCACCUACCCUUGGAUACCUGGCUGAGAACCUUGGAUGCAUGGAAGGAAAUAAUGCACUGAAGUCAAGAAAAAGGUGACUUUACCAAGGGAGUGAGUACUGGCAGACAGUGAAGAAAAGCAAGGGCUAAAGCCCUGGACUCACAGCAUUCUACUGGAGGAUGAAAGGAGGAUCCAACAAAGGAGACAGAAGGUCUGUGCAGACAGGUUGGAAAUAGCCUAAGAGAAGGUACUGGAGAAAAUACUGCAAGGAAGAAGUGGUCAGUUAUGUUAAUACAUAACUGUGGAACAGUUUUCUAAAAUGUGGAACCCACCCAGAAUUUCCAGCAGGAAUCAAAUAAUGGCUAUUUAUCAACAUUGUUUCAUGUGAUCAGGAGCACUGUCAUUUAACAAGAAUUCAGACAUCAACUUUAUCCUCAGUACCUUCAGGUGGUUAAGUAAUGAUCAAGAAGUCUGGCUUCCAAGGCAGGGACCUCAUAGAGUUAUGUGUCUUAAAUGAUAACUUCUUAUUUUGUCUUUCUUUGUUUACUUGUGUGUUAGUGGCUGGACAAAAGUAAAUUCUAAAGAAUAUUUAAUACAUGAUUAAGAAGAACAAAUAAGUAACUUUGCCAUAAAACAUAAUGAAUAGCAGAAGUUGUUUCUAAUACUUUGAAUAAUUAUGUAAUAUAUAUAAAUAAUAAAAUAAUUGUAUAAUGGAGUUAUUUGGGAUCCUAAUA